rnacentral:lncRNA from 1 species
GUGGUUAGAAAAGAAGGAAAAGUUUUUGGUUUGCUUGUAAUAUUAUUAAUUUUAAUGAAGAAUGUAUGAUUGAAAAUAAAUACUAUAGAGAAAAUAAUGUAAUACAAUGUAAAAUAAUGAGUGACAAACAAGGGCUAAAUGUAAGGCUCGCCUUUUCGUUUAUCCCGUGCACUCAAAGUUGUCCACAAAGAAAUUGCAAGCCCCUAAUAUAUUAAUCUUCGUUCUCCCUAUGGCCUCACUCCUAAUCACAGAUAUAUGGGAAGGUUUUUUCUCCAUGAAAUAAGAUCCUUGUACUCUAGAAAUUUGAGAUCUUCAAAGAUAUUUUCUCUCGCAAAACAUAUUCAAAAGUGUUACCUUACAGAUGUUAUAUCAAAAAAAUCAAUAUAAACGAUCAUUAUUGAUGCCACCAAAAAUCUGCACUAUAUGAUUAUCGAGCUUGACGAUUGAAGAUGAUCACCAACUAAAUCUUAGGUACCAAAAACAAAGGCAUCGAGGAUCAUCUCUCGGAUGCUUAAGUUAGCAAAAAAAAUUAUACGAAAGGCUAUAAGCUAAAGUAUGUAAAAGUGUACCUUAAUAAUGGAUGAAUGGCUGAUAUUUAUAGAUGUAGGUGGUUCAAUCCUAAUAGGAUUGGGAUAUAUAGAUGUCCAUCCUAUUUGAGAGUUAUAGAAGGCUUGGAAGUCCUUAGGAUUUUGAC